AAUGAAAUGCGUUUGUUAGGCUAGCCGAUUGUAAAAAUAGGGAAAUUAAAGUGCGUGCUGUGCCUAUACAUUACACAAACAAUCUUAAAUCGCGGAGAUAACAUUCGUUAGACAGGCAAAGCUGUCAGCAGCAACAUGCAUAAGAGCCUUAAUAGUAAGAGGUUAAUGUUAACC